AAAGGGUGCGUAGGCGGAUGUUUAAGUGGGAUGUGAAAUCCCCGGGCUUAACCUGGGGGCUGCAUUCCAAACUGGAUAUCUAGAGUGCAGGAGAGGAAAGCGGAAUUCCUAGUGUAGCGGUGAAAUGCGUAGAGAUUAGGAAGAACACCAGUGGCGAAGGCGGCUUUCUGGACUGUAACUGACGCUGAGGCACGAAAGCGUGGGUAGCAAACAGGAUUAGAUACCCUGGUAGUCCACGCCGUAAACGAUGGAUACUAGGUGUAGGGGGUAUCAACUCCCCCUGUGCCGCAGUUAACACAAUAAGUAUCCCGCCUGGGGAGUACGGUCGCAAGAUUAAAACUCAAAGGAAUUGACGGGGGCCCGCACAAGCAGCGGAGCAUGUGGUUUAAUUCGAAGCAACGCGAAGAACCUUACCUGGACUUGACAUCCCUUGCAUAGCCUAGAGAUAGGUGAAGCCCUUCGGGGCAAGGAGACAGGUGGUGCAUGGUUGUCGUCAGCUCGUGUCGUGAGAUGUUAGGUUAAGUCCUGCAACGAGCGCAACCCUUGUUAUUAGUUGCUACCAUUAAGUUGAGCACUCUAAUGAGACUGCCUGGGUAACCAGGAGGAAGGUGGGGAUGACGUCAAAUCAUCAUGCCCCUUAUGUCCAGGGCUACACACGUGCUACAAUGGUAGGUACAAUAAGACGCAAGACCGUGAGGUGGAGCAAAACUUAUAAAACCUAUCUCAGUUCGGAUUGUAGGCUGCAACUCGCCUACAUGAAGCUGGAGUUGCUAGUAAUCGCGAAUCAGAAUGUCGCGGUGAAUACGUUCCCGGGCCUUGUACACACCGCCCGUCACACCAUGAGAGCUGGUAACACCCGAAGUCCGUGAGGUAACCGUAAGGAGCCAGCGGCCGAAGG
rnacentral:rRNA from 1 species